CCCGAGUGCGGCGUGCUAUACAUGCAAGUCGAACGAAGCUGUUUUAACUGGUGCUUGCACCGACUUAAACAACUGAGUGGCGAACGGGUGAGUAACACGUGGGUAACCUGCCCCAAAGCGGGGGAUAACAUUUGGAAACAGAUGCUAAUACCGCAUAACCACAGAAACCACAUGGUUUCUGUGUCAAAGAUGGUUUCGGCUAUCACUUUGGGAUGGACCCGCGGCGUAUUAGCUAGUUGGUAAGGUAAUGGCUUACCAAGGCAAUGAUACGUAGCCGAACUGAGAGGUUGAUCGGCCACAUUGGGACUGAGACGCGGCCCAAACUCCUACGGGAGGCAGCAGUAGGGAAUCUUCCACAAUGGACGAAAGUCUGAUGGAGCAACGCCGCGUGAGUGAAGAAGGUUUUCGGAUCGUAAAACUCUGUUGUCAGAGAAGAACGUGUGCGAGAGUAACUGUUCGUGCAGUGACGGUAUCUGGCCAGAAAGCCACGGCUAACUACGUGCCAGCAGCCGCGGUAAUACGUAGGUGGCAAGCGUUGUCCGGAUUUAUUGGGCGUAAAGGGAACGCACGCGGUCUUUUAAGUCUGAUGUGAAAGCCUUCGGCUUAACCGAAGUCGUGCAUUGGAAACUGGGAGACUUGAGUGCACAAGAGGAGAGUGGAACUCCAUGUGUAGCGGUGAGAUGCGUAGAUAUAUGGAAGAACGCCAGUGGCGAAAGCGGCUCUCUGGUCUGUAACUGACGCUGACGUACGAAAGCGUGCGUAGCAGACAGGAUUAGAUACCCUGGUACUCCACGCUGUAUACGAUGAAUGCUAAGUGUUGGAGGGUGUCCGCCCUUCACUGACGCAGCAAUGCAUUAAGCAUUCCACCUGAGGGGUACCACCUCAGAGUUGAAACUACAACGAAUUGACCGUUGCCCGCAAAAAUGUGGACAUGCUGGUCUAUUCGAACUACGCGACAGCUUACCGGUCUUGCCUCUCUGAUAGCUAAAACAUACGUGUCCCAUCGGGACCUAUGACA
rnacentral:rRNA from 2 species